GAUGAACGCUGGCGGCGUGCUUAACACAUGCAAGUCGAACGGAAAGGCUCCUGCUUGCAGGGGUACUCGAGUGGCGAACGGGUGAGUAACACGUGGGUGAUCUGCCCUGCACUUCGGGAUAAGCCUGGGAAACUGGGUCUAAUACCGGAUAGGACGAUGGUUUGGAUGCCAUUGUGGAAAGGUUUUUCGGUGUGGGAUGGGCUCGCGGCCUAUCAGCUUGUUGGUGGGGUAAUGGCCUACCAAGGCGUCGACGGGUAGCCGGCCUGAGAGGGGGUACGGCCACACUGGGACUGGGAUAAGGCACAGCCCACUACGGGAGGCAGCAGUGGGGAAUAUUGCACAAUGGGCGCAAGCCUGAUGCAGCGACGCCGCGUGGGGGAUGACGGCCUUCGGGUUGUAAACUCCUUUCGCUAGGGACGAAGCGAAAGUGACGGUACCUGGAGAAGAAGCACCGGCUAACUACGUG
rnacentral:rRNA from 1 species